AAUGAACAGUCCUUACGAACAUCGAUAAACUGAAGAAAAUUGCAACCUUUGAUCUAUAUUUGCAUCGCAUGCCGCGCCGUGACCAUCGUGACCGCGCGAUGGUUUUCGAUAAGCAGCAAAUUCAAGGACCACAGCAGCAACAGGUGUGAGAAUAAAAAAAAAUCUUUAAACUUUUACUUGCUUUCGUUUGGAGUUUCUUUUUUUAAAUGAAUCGUGAAGAAGCGUGGCUGGUUACCAUGAGGGUGUACCUACCUACCUACUCAAUAAAAAUGCUAAUUUGUUCCGGCGAUGGCGAUGAGUUUGUUUCAUCAUUACACACCUCAACAGACGGAUCAAGUUUAGUUGAGGUGAAGAUUUCGUGGACGGAAUUAUGAUGCGCAGUUAGUAUUCUGGUGGACGUCCCGGGUAAAAAUAGGUUUUACGGGAUGUUGAACGUAGGCAUUAAAUAAAUUUGGUUCCAGUAGCAUCUGAAAGCUUUUUAUCUUGAUUUUCUAAAAAAAAAAAUGAAAACUACGAAAACUCCUAUUUUUAUAUUUAUUAUCGCUUGUGCCACUGUUAACUUAGCUUAACGGCGUUGACAAAAUAAAUGCUUAAAAUUACUUCAAGAAUACUCACAUACCAUCCCGGAUGCAAAUAAAAGCCACGAACUAGGAAGAUAAUACCCAGCUCGAAUCGAUUACGUACGCAAGCAAAACAGCAAUAUUCACACAGCAUCGCAUUACGAAGGAAUCCCGAAAAUAUGCGCAAAAAUGAGGUCACCGCUGAACCUAUAAGAGUCCUCGCACCCCGUGGAGCAUUUCCAGUUCAUAAGCGCAGCGUAAGGGUUCCAGGUUGAUGCAGCCGGCUGGUUCACUCCACAGUACCCGCCUGUUGUGGAAUUCGGACAGUACAAUCCCAGCGACCAGAUUUGUUUCCACAAAAAAGUAUUGGAUGGCACAAACUCGCCGCAAAUAAUCCACUUUCGAAAUCCUGUCGCUGCCACGAUCAACUACAUAAAACUGCAAUCCGAUCAGAACAAAUGGGCAGGAUUCCGGGUGGAAUUGACUGAUGGAGCAAUCGGGACAAGCUUUGUACAACUAGAAGUAUAUGCCACAUACAGUUGGCUAUUUUUUCGUACGGAUGUAUUCAUCGAUAUGCAUUGCACUCCAGUUUUGAGAGUAAUACCUACCGGAAGCAGGAAACGAACGCAAACUCAUGAUGUGAUUUCAUUGGGAUCCAGUACAAAACGAACCGUCUUUUGGGUGUGAAUCUUGU